rnacentral:rRNA from 1 species
AGAUUGAACGCUGGCGGCAUGCCUAACACAUGCAAGUCGAACGGGAGUAGCAAUACUCUAGUGGCGGACGGGUGAGGAAUACGUAGGAAUUUGCCCUUAAGUGGGGGAUAACCCGGGGAAACCCGGAUUAAUACCGCAUGACCUCGAAAGAGCAAAGUGGGGGAUCGCAAGACCUCACGCUUUUGGAGAAGCCUACGUCGGAUUAGCUAGUUGGUGAGGUAAUGGCUCACCAAGGCGACGAUCCGUAACUGGUCUGAGAGGAUGAUACAGUCACACCGGAACUGAGACGACCGGUCCGGACCUCCGUACGGGAGGCAGCGAGGUAGGGAAUAGUUAGGAACAAGUGGGGCACCGAAAGUCCUAGACUCCAGACAAAUCGGCCGCGUGGUGUAGAAAGGAAGGCCGUUCGGGUUAGGUAACGACGUAACGUUUAAAGGUUAA